GAUAACUUGGUGUAGAGCAAAGAGCACUGGACUUGGAGUCCGAGGACUUGAGUUCAAAUUCUGGCUCCACCACUUAAUAGCUCUGUGACCUUGGAGAUAGAGUGUAGGUGACCAGCAGCCUGUGAUUCCUGGGAGACAAGAAGAAUCGUUCAAUGAGGAUUCAGGGUCAGCUGGGACAAAUCGGGCAUUCAGAGCCUGGUGUCCAUUGUUCCUGAGCCAGACUCUGUCAGACAGGGGAAUUAUCAGCCGAGAAGAUGCCGAAGAUCUCCUUGAGAAUAUGACUGAGGGUGCAUUUCUGGUCCGGGUCAGUGAGAAAAUC